rnacentral:ncRNA from 1 species
AAAAGCAAAGAUAAAAACGCAACGCAUGUAGUGAUAUAUGCCAGAGCUGGUAGGUAGCCCAGCCGUCCUGUUUAUCAGGGUAAGUAACCUUCCCCUCCGGGUUGUCCAUUUUUUGCUCAUUUCAA